CCUACGGGUGGCAGCAGUGGGGGAUAUUGCACAAUGGGGGAAACCCUGAUGCAGCGACGCCGCGUGUGGGAAGACGGUCCUCUGGAUUGUAAACCACUGUCCCCAGGGACGAAGAUGACGGUACCUGGGGAGGAAGCUCCGGCUAACUAGGUGCCAGCAGCCGCGGUAAUACGUAGGGAGCGAGCGUUGUCCGGAAUUACUGGGUGAAAAGGGAGCGUAGGCGGGACUGCAAGUUGGGUGUCAAAUCUACCGGCUCAACCGGUAGCCGCACUCAAAACUGCAGUUCUUGAGUGAAGUAGAGGCAGGCGGAAUUCCUAGUGUAGCGGUGAAAUGCGUAGAUAUUAGGAGGAACACCAGUGGCGAAGGCGGCCUGCUGGGCUUUUUCUGACGCUGAGGCUCGAAAGUGUGGGGAGCAAACAGGAUUAGAUACCCGAGUAGUC
rnacentral:rRNA from 1 species